rnacentral:rRNA from 1 species
AUUGAACGCUGGCGGCAGGCCUAACACAUGCAAGUCGAACGAGUGGCGGACGGGUGAGUAAUGUUUGGGAAACUGCCUGAUGGAGGGGGAUAACUACUGGCAACGGUAGCUAAUACCUCAUACUAUCAGAUGUUCCCAGAUGGAAUUAGCUAGUUGGUGGGGUAACGGCUCACCAAGGCGACUAUCCCUAGCUGGUCUGAGAGGAUGACCAGCCACACUGGAACGGGGACACGGUCCAGACUCCUACGGGAGGCAGAAGUGGGGAAUAUUGCAAAAUGGGCGAAAGCCUGAUGCAGCCAUGCCGCGUGUAUGAAGAAGGCCUUCGGGUUGUAAAGUACUUUCAGCGGGGAGGUGUUACCCGCAGAAGAAGCACCGGCUAACUCCGUGCCAGCAGCCGCGGUAAUUC